rnacentral:tRNA from 1 species
AAAUUUAGGUUAACACCAAACCAAGGGCCUUCAAAGCCCUAAAUAAGAGUAACCACCCUCCU